ensembl:lncRNA
GUCACAAUUGAGUGUCUAAACAAUAAGAAUAACUAUCCCCAACAUGCCUUCCAAAUUCAGUGAAAGUCCACCAGGUCAUAUUUAUGCAUUUCAAUAACAUAGACUGAGGCUUUUGUUUUAUUUAGGUGCCUGGGUAUUCAAAAGACAAAGGGGUUCUUAGGAGUUUUCUUAGGCAAAGGGCUCAGUAGCUUGGCUCCUUCUGAACAGCCUGUGUAAAGGAAUUAUGUGGCCUGGAUCUUUUCUUCUGCCUGUCAACUCUAUUUGUGCUGGGGGAGUGGAGAAAAGAAUGGUCUCAACUGUUGGGGAUUCCACAGGUUCUUCCAAACAGCUUAGUGAGGGAACAUUGGAUUCUUUCCCUGCCAGUGAAAACAUCCUACGUCCCAUCUCUGUGGCUUCACUCAGGCCACCCAAAGGCGGUCUUAGUUGUCUCUAGUUGCCCACUUCUCUGGUCCUUGUCCUAAGAUUUUUAUGGAACAAGAAAAUAAAUCUGGGAAUUCCCUGGCAGUCCAGUGGUUAGGAACUCAGGGCUUUCACUGCUGGGGCCCAGCCUCCAUCCCUGGUCCAGAAACUAAGAGUCUGCAAGCCAUGUGGUGAGGCAAAAAAAAAAAAAAAAUGUUGGUUGCAUUGAGUGGAUGGGGAAAACUAGAAAUUGUAAACACAUCUAGAUAGUCUUAGCAUUUGCAAUGUAUUUCUACACAUUAUUUGAUCCUCAAUGGUGCUAUGAGCUAAGAAGGGCAAGCCUGAGUUCUUUUUUGAAAACCUUCAUGCAUUUGGCCAUGUCGGAUCUUGGUUGUGGAAAAUCUUUGAUCUUCGUUGAGGCAUGUGGGAUGUUUCAGCUGUGGCAUGUGAACUCAGUUGUGGCAUGUGGGAUUUAGAUCCCUGACCAGUGAUCCAACCUGGGGUCCCCUGCAUCAGGAGCAUGGAGUCUUAGACACUGGACCACCAGGGAAGUCCCCGAACUCUACAGAUGAGAAGAAGAGGUUCAGAGAAGUGACCUGCCCAAGUGGUGGGGUGCAGACUUGACCUGUGUGGUACCCCAAAGCAGUCCCUCUCAGCUAUAACUUGCUCCACCUGUGUGUUUGUCAAAGCGGAUGUUACAGAAGUCCCAUGGCAGCCCUUCCCUGGAGGUCCAGUGGUUAAGACUCACUCUGCAUUCCACUGCAGGGGACACAGGUUCAAGGUUCAAUCUCUAGUCGGGCAACUAAUAUCCCGCAUGCUAUGACCAAAAUAAGUAAGUAAAUGCACACGUGUGCUCAGUCAUGUCUGACUCUGUGACCUUAUGGAGGCAUAUGUAGCCUGCCAGGCUCUUUUGUCCAUGGAAUUUUGCAGACAAGAAUACUAGAGUGGGUUGCCAUUUCCUUCUCCAGGGGGUCUUCCUGACUCAGGGAUUGAACCCACGUCUUCUGUGUCUUCUGUAUAGCAGGCAUAUUCUUUACCACUUGAGCCGUCAGGGAAGCCCAAGUAAGUAAAUAAGUAGAUACGUAAGUAGGUCCUGUGGGAUCAGUGGGCAUAGCCAGAAACAACGAUCUAAUCUAGAAUAGGGAUUUACAUAUAAUGUGGUUGCCCGAAGCCCCACAACCUACCCCAGAGUGCUGUUUCCUUUCAGAGGCAUUAGAGCCAUGGUCUUGAUGUCAAGUCAACCUGAUUCAGUAAGGCAGUUUGGGUAAACAGUUUAGAAGUCAGGUAAACAGUUUCCUGUCUGAAAAAACAGUACCUGGAUGCUACUUGGCGCUAGACCCUAUGUGAGCUGCUAGACCAACAAAGGUGAGUAUUUUUUAAAAACUUAAUUGGAGAAUAAUUGCUUUCCACUAUUGUGUUGUCUUCUGCCAUACAGCAACACGAAUCAGGCAGCCAUAAGUACACAUAGGUCCCCUCCUUCUUGAACUUCUCCCCAACCCCACUUUAGGUUGUCACAGAGCGGCGCUUUGAGCUCCCUGAAUUAUACAGCAACUUUUCCCAUUAGCUUUACCUGUUUUAUAUAUGGCAAUAUGUAUGUUUUAAUACUGUUAUCUCAAUUCAUCCCAACCUCUCCUUCCCCUGCUGGCCAAAGUCUCUUCUUUAUGUCUGCAUCUCUAUUCCUGCUCUGCAAAUAGUUUCAUCAAUACCAUUUUUCUAGAUGCCAUAUUUAUGUGUUAAUAUAUGACGCUCGUUUCCCUCUUUCUGACCUAGCUUCACCUUGUAUAACAUGCUUUGGGUUCAUCCACCUCACUAGAACUGACUCAAAUGUGUUCCUUUUCAUGGCUGAGUAAUAUUCUAUUGUGUAUGUGUACCAAAACUUUUUUAUCCAUUGAUCUGUUGAUGAACACGUAGAUUGCUUCCAUGUCCUGGCUACUUUAAACAGUGCUGCAGUGAACACUGGGACACAUGUCUUUUUCACUUACGGUUUCCUCAAGGUAUAUAUAUGCCCAGCAGUGAGAUUGUUGGGUCAUAUGGUGGUUUUAUUCCUAGUUUUUAAAGGAAUCUCCAUACUGUUCUCCAUAGUGGCGCUAUCAAUUUACAUUCCCACCAACAGUGCAAGAGGGUUCCCUUUUCUCCACUCUCUCUCCAGCAUUCAUUAUAUGUAGGUUUUUUGAUGAUGGCCAUUCUGAUCGGUGUGAGGUGAUACUUCCGAAGGUGAGUAUUUAUGUUCACUUUCUAUCUCUGCAAAAAACAACUUGAUGUUAUGCCUUACUCUUCCAGGCAAUGGGACUGACAGUGAACAAGCCCCCAAAGAUCCCUGCCCUCAUGGAGAUUACAGCCUAGUCGGGGAGUAGGGUGACCAACUUAUCCUAGUUUGCCUGGGACUUUUCCAGUUUGAACGCUGAAAGGCUGGCAUCCCAGGAACCAUUUAGUCCCAGUAAACCAGGUUCAUUGGUUACUCGCCAGGUAAACCAGAUAUAUUAACAACUGUGUUGAGUGACAGACAUGAUUAAAUUUGCAUUUGAUUGCUCUGGAAGCUAAGUGGAAAUGGCUGCGGAUAGAGGUACAGUGGGAAAGGGUAAACAGCUGGCGCAGUAGCCGGGUGACAGGCCGGUGGUGUGGAUCAGGCAGGUGCCUAUGGGAAUAAAGUAGAGUCUACAGGUGAAUAGACUGCUUAGAUAGGAUGGAUGAAUCAUCAGGAAUGCUCCCGGGUGGUUUUGAAGCUUAAGAAGCCAAGUGGAGGGGUCCUUGGAGGAAUCUGCUGUUACAGGAGGAAGUGAUGAGGUUCGGAGUGUGUUAGGUUUGUAGCCUCAAGAUAACGGUUGUUUUUGGAAAGUACUGAAGCAGAUUUUUCAAACCCUCAAUCUUUGCUGCUUCCAACAAAUAGCUCUUGAAUGGCUGCUCUGUGCUAGACAUGAAGUGAGGUAUUCAGAUACAAUGAGGAGCAAGCAUGACACUGGCCCGUUUUCAUAGAGCUAAUGAAAUAAUCCAACUUUCCUGGUGGCUCAACAGUAAAGAAUCCUCCUGCCAUGCAGGAGACUCGGCUUUAAUCUCUGGGUCAGGAAGAUCCCCUGAAGAAGAAAAUGCAACCCAGUCCGGUAUUCUUGCCUGGGAAAUCCCAUGGACAGAGAAGCCUGGCGGGCUACAGUCCAUGGGGUCAAAAAAGAGUCAGACGUGACUUAGUUACUAAACAACAAUAAAAUAAUCACAUUGAGUAUAUGUAUUUAAUUUCUUGGGUAAGCUUUCUGAAGGGCUGGAGCUCAACCUAGGUCAGAUGCCUUGAGAAAGCAUUCUUGAAGUGGUUUUUUCACAGAAAUUCAGAGUGUAAACUAGGUGAGGGAAAAGAGGGGUAAGAUUCUGGAUAGAGGAACCAUCUGCCCUGUGGCACUGAAAAGCAAGUCUAGGUGAAGCUCUGAGAGGGAGGAGGAACAUGGUGCCAGAAGAGGCUUAACAGAGGUGAGGGAGGCAGACCGUGCAAGCCCAGUGCACCACAUAAUUUUCAUUUAUUAAAUACCUAAAAACUGCCUUAAAAAAAAAGUUAAAACAUUACAGGACUUCCCUGGUGACUCAUUGGUUAAGAAUCCACCUGUCAAUGCAGGAGACAAGGGUUCGAUCCUUGAUCUGGGAAAAUCCCGCAUGCCGAGGAGCAGCUAGCCAGUGCGCCACAACUGCUGAGCCUGUGCUCCAGAGCCCAGGGACCACAACUCCUGAGCCCAGGUGCUGCGACUGCUGGAGCCUGUGUGCCCUAGAGCUGGUGCUCUGCAACAAGAGAAGCCACUGCAAGAAGAAGCCUGAGCACUGCAACUAGAGAAAAGCCCGCGUGGCCACGAAGACCCAGCACAGCCAAAAAUAAAUACUUUUUUAAAAAGGGUUUCCUGGUGGUCCAGCGGCUGAGAAUCUGCCUUGCAAUGCAGGUGACACCAGUUGGAUCCCUGAUCUGGGAAGAGCCCACGUGCCAUGGAGCAGCUAAGCCGGUGCGCCACAAGUGCUGAGCCUGCGCUCUGAAGCCCGGGAGCCACAACUACUGAGCCCACGUGCCGUAACUACUGAAGCCUGUACACCCUAGAGCCUGCGCUCUGCAACAAGAGAAGCCACUGCAGUGAGAAACCCACAAUGAAACUAGGCAGUAGCCCCUGCUCGCUGCAACUAGAGAAAGGCCGCCCACAGCAGAGGAAAACUAGCAGAGCCAAAAAUAGAAAUAAAGUUUAAAAAAUCUACACACAAUCGACUGUAUCACUCUUUUUCUUGAUGCUGCUUCUUUUUGUGGCAUGAAAGUGUUUGUUUUUAUCUUGACCUUUUCUGCAGCUUCCUACUCACUUGUUAAUUUAUUGUCUUCUGCCCAUAAAUUCAUUGCUUCUGCCUAAGUUAACCAAAGUUAGUUUUCUGUUGGUUCCGUGUUAGAACCAAGAAUCCUAACAGAUAGAGAUAAGAAGA